CAUGAGUUGUUUUGGACCCGUGUCUGCCGGUAGAUCCCCCGACUCUUAGUGCGGCCGACUACCGUGCGCCGUGUCUCGUCAUUCGUGUGGCUUGUGUUACUGUUACUUUUCGAGUGCUUGCGUGCAGGUACCCGACCUUUGGGAAGUGGUGCUUCAUACAAGGUUGCCUCGCGGUGGACACCUUCUGGUGUACUACUGCGGCCAAAURGCGGUUGCGGCGUUGCCUCGUUGGGCUGAUGCGUUUUCGUGUCUGGCCCUAUCAAGGCUGCCUCGCUCCCGCUGUUGGUUUCGGAUGUUGCUCACGAUAUAAGCUCUUGGCCCUUAUGGUUGCCUCGACUUGACCCUAAGCAUGCUCUCCGAAUUUGAGAACACCCGGAACAGGUGUUGCCUCUACCUCUCCACAGUUAGUGGUAGGAUACGCAACAUUAUGUGCCGAUCCUCAUACAAGUAGGAUGAGCUUGGCUCGCUCAAUUGCGACAACCGGCCCGGCUGCUGCCUUUGCCUUGCCACGCCAGUGGUUGGGCGGACAACUGUCGAAGCCGGACGUCAAAAAGGACGUGCU
rnacentral:misc_RNA from 1 species